AGCUUUUAAUCAAGGAGAGAAUUUGAGCGACACUAAACAAAAGAUAGGCUGAGCAAAAGGAGGAAAGAUUUAAGGAGGUAUGUGUAUUAUGUGUUUUCAUCAAUACUUUCUUAGAAUGUGCCUUCAUUGUUGGUUUCUGUUUAGCUCUAGAAAAACUGU